GAUACUGAGGCCUCUAAAAAAACUACGAUGCCGAUCGGAGUCCCCCUGAACGGCACAGACGGCAGCUUCCACGGGAAAAAAGGUGUACCAGUGAACUCCCGGCCCCACCUCUCAGGAAUGCCUGGCAUCCAGCAGGCCGCCCUCAUUCCCUCUGGCUGGGUUCAAGUGGAGGCGAGAUCUAAGGCGACCGAGGGCCAUUUGUCCCGGAGAUCAGACAGACACCCAGACAAACCCACCCAUGUUCCAAGAGCCAUAAACCCCCUUUUAGGUGCUGGAGGGAUUACCACUUCACUUUAAAGGACACCGCUGUUAUCAGAUGCGCAUUAAAAUACAGAAACAACACUAUGAAGACCAAACCUUUCACCUGUGAGCUAAGUUCAAUUGAUGUGGGAGCUACACACACACACCUGUGGGGCUGAAAAAUACCACAGUAACGACCCGCCUCCCAGC